rnacentral:rRNA from 1 species
UACGGAGGGAGCUAGCGUUGUUCGGAUAUACUGGGCGUAAAGCGCACGUAGCGGCGCCGUAAGUCAGGGGUGAAAUCCCGGAGCUCAACUCCGGAACUGCCCCUUGAAACUGCCAGUGCUAGAAUCUUGGAGAGGCGAGUGGAAUUCCGAGUGUAGAGGUGAAAUUCGUAGAUAUUCGGAAGAACACCAGUGGCGAAGGACGAC